AUGUGGCUCUUCGGAGUGUUAUAGCCUGCCGUGUAAUACCCCUCGGCGGACUGAGGACCGCGCAUCUGCAAGGAUGCUGGCGUAAUGGUUGUCAGCGACCCGUCUUGAAACACGGACCAAGGAGUCGUCCUAAUAUGCGAGUGUUCGGGUGUAAAACCCCUACGCGUAAUGAAAGUGAACGGAGGUGAGAGCUUCGGCGCAUCAUCGACCGAUCCUGAUGUUCUCGGAUGGAUUUGAGUAUGAGCAUAUUGGGCCGGACCCGAAAGAAGGUGAACUAUGCCUGUAUAGGGACAAGUCAGAGGAAACUCUUGUGGAGGGUAGCAGAGGUUCUGACGUGCAAAUCGAUCGUCAAAUAAGGGCAUGGGCGCGAAAGACUAAUCGAACCUUCUAGUAGCUGGUUUCCGCCGAAGUUUCCCUCAGGAUAGCAGUGUUGAAUUCUCAGUUUUAUGAGGUAAAGCGAAUGAUUAGGGACUCGGGGGCGCUAUUAAGCCUUCAUCCAUUCUCAAACUUUAAAUAUGUAAGAAGCCCUUGUUACUUAAUUGAACGUGGGCAUUCGAAUGUAUCAACACUAGUGGGCCAUUUUUGGUAAGCAGAACUGGCGAUGCGGGAUGAACCGAUCGCGGGGAUAAGGUGCCGGAG
rnacentral:rRNA from 1 species